rnacentral:rRNA from 1 species
UGAACGCUGGCGGCAGGCCUAACACAUGCAAGUCGAGCGGAUGAAGGGAGCUUGCUCCUGGAUUCAGCGGCGGACGGGUGCGUAAUGCCUAGGAAUCUGCCUGGUAGUGGGGGAUAACGUCCGGAAACGGGCGCUAAUACCGCAUACGUCCUGAGGGAGAAAGUGGGGGAUCUUCGGACCUCACGCUAUCAGAUGAGCCUAGGUCGGAUUAGCUAGUUGGUGGGGUAAAGGCCUACCAAGGCGACGAUCCGUAACUGGUCUGAGAGGAUGAUCAGUCACACUGGAACUGAGACACGGUCCAGACUCCUACGGGAGGCAGCAGUGGGGAAUAUUGGACAAUGGGCGAAAGCCUGAUCCAGCCAUGCCGCGUGUGUGAAGAAGGUCUUCGGAUUGUAAAGCACUUUAAGUUGGGAGGAAGGGCAGUAAGUUAAUACCUUGCUGUUUUGACGUUACCAACAGAAUAAGCACCGGCUAACUUCGUG